UGACGGUGGUGAUGACAAUCCAUAUUCCUGUCCUUAUCAAAAAGAAGACAAGCCGGUAACAGACAGGGACACCCGAGGACGAGUUGGAUGAGCUCCAAGGUGUGUGUCCCUGUUUCUCGGGUCUUCUUGGGGCUGGGUUUCCAGUGGGACAGAAGGCAGGGCUGGACUCUUGGCUGAAGUCUACAGUGACCUCAGAGAGCCCCUUGUUCUCCUGCUCCUUUGGGAAGGUUCUCCAAGGCAGGACCACCCAGCAUGCAGAUGGCAUUUAAACUUUCCAGGCUUGGGAGAGAGAAGUCAGCCAGACGGGGGCCCUGGGCCCUCAGCUCCUGUGAGCGGACAACCUGAGAUCAGUGAGCUCUCUUUGGCAUUGAACUUUCAGUCUGAGUAUUCGGAGCAAUUCCAAAAGGCUCUCCCAGUGUUUGCAUGGGUAUUCUCUUUACAACUAUUCGUUCCACUACAAUCAUUUUUCUCUUUGUUCCCAAACUGGAGCCCUUUAAUAUCUCUCAUAAGAAAGGAAGAAGCAUGGUUAUUCUGCUAAUCCUAUGAUUGUGACGGGUACGCAGCCAAGUCCAGCCCUUCCACUGACAGAGAGAGAAGCCCAAGCUCAGAGACGGGGCGUGACUUGCUCUCGAACACACAGUGAUAAAUCAAUGAAGGGGCAAAAAAUUCAAGCCACCAACAUCAAAGCGAUGAGAGCUGACAUAUGCUUCCAAGGACCCUGAUAUGACUGGGGUCAUUCGAAGAUCUAGUUUCUGAAGAGCUCGUUUAGACUAUCAGGAAAAUGUGAACCUGCUCUUCAUCUGCAAUCAGCCGGAUCGGGAACUGAGAGAUCAAGAGAGCGAGAGAGAACAAACAGGGAGAGCAGCAGAUGGAAAGGGAGAA